rnacentral:tRNA from 1 species
AAUUAUUUUGUUAUUAUAAGGGUUUUGAAAACCUUUGAGGGGAGUGUCACCUCCCAACUUU